rnacentral:rRNA from 1 species
ACUCGAGUGGCGAACGGGUGAGUAACACGUGGGUGAUCUGCCCUGCACUUCGGGAUAAGCUUGGGAAACUGGGUCUAAUACCGGAUAGGAGCCAUUUUUAGUGUGAUGGUUGGAAAGUUUUUCGGUGUAGGAUGAGCUCGCGGCCUAUCAGCUUGUUGGUGGGGUAAUGGCCUACCAAGGCGGCGACGGGUAGCCGGCCUGAGAGGGCGUACGGCCACAUUGGGACUGAGAUACGGCCCAG